CCCUUAGAUGUUCUGGGCCGCACGCGCGCUACACUGAUGCAUUCAACAAGCCUAGCCUUGACCGAGAGGUCCGGGUAAUCUUUGAAACUGCAUCGUGAUGGGGCUAGAUUAUUGCAAUUAUUAAUCUUCAACGAGGAAUGCCUAGUAAGCGUGAUUCAUCAAAUCGCGUUGAUUACGUCCCUGCCCUUUGUACACACCGCCCUUCGCUCCUACCGAUUGAAUGUGUUGGUGAGGAGCUCGGAUUGGCAGCAGUUGGUGGUUCGCCACCGGCUAUUGCUGAGAAGUCCUCCAAACCGCCCCAUUUAGAGGAAGGAGAAGUCGUAACA
rnacentral:rRNA from 1 species